rnacentral:rRNA from 1 species
UACGUAGGGACCGAGCGUUGUCCGGAAUUCAUUGGGACGGUAAAGAGCGUGUAGGCGGCCAAUUAAGUCCUGCGUGAAAUCUCGGGGCUCAACCCCCGAGCGGUCGUGGGAAACUGGUUGGCUAGAGUGCGGGAGAGGAGAGUGGAAUUCCUGGUGUAGCGGUGAAAUGCGUUGAUAUCGGAAGAACGCCGGUGGCGAAAGCGACGUGCUGGCCCUCAACUGACGCUGAGGCGCGAAAGCCAGGGAGCGAACGGG